GACGAACCGUGCGAACGUUAUUCGGAAUCACUGGGCUUAAAGGGCGCGUAGGCGGGUCAUCAAGUCCGGGGUGAAAUCCCACGGCCCAACCGUGGAAGUGCCUUGGAUACUGAAGACCUCGAGGGGGAUAGGGGCGUGCGGAACUCAGGGUGGAGCGGUGAAAUGCGUAGAUAUCCUGAGGAACACCUAUGGCGAAGGCAGCUCGCUGGGACGGUACUGACGCUGAGACGCGAAAGCGUGGGGAGCGAACAGG
rnacentral:rRNA from 1 species